AAAUUAAAAAAAAAAAAAUUUCUUGUGACUUGUGAAUCAACAUGUUCACACUAUUAUGUUGUUCACAAAAACUCUUAUAAUAAUAGAUUGGGUCCCAUUGACUAAAGCUAAGCUAACUCGUAAAUUGAAACUCUGCCAAUCCCUUUUUCCCUGGUACAAGAAAUGUGAGCUGAGGCAUGUAUUUUGGAUGAGUUGAUACACACAUAAAUAGUCAGAUACAUAUAUAUUAACAAAUAUAGAUAUAAUAACUAUAACUUAUGAAACAUGAACAUCAUCUUUCACCAUGCCAUCUUAGCACAGGUCACUUAGAUUAUAUGCCCUAUUAACAUAUGACCUACAGUGCCCCAACAGAACCACAUAAUUCUCAGGGUAUAGCCAGUUUUCUAUCAUGGGAUUUGAUACCAGCUUCGACUCAAGGGAAUGGAUC
rnacentral:misc_RNA from 1 species